rnacentral:rRNA from 1 species
AUUGAACGCUGGCGGCAGGCCUAACACAUGCAAGUCGAACGAGUGGCGGACGGGUGAGUAAUGUCUGGGAAACUGCCUGAUGGAGGGUGAUAACUACUGGAAACGGUAGCUAAUACCGCAUACCAUCAGAUGUGCCCAGAUGGGAUUAGCUAGUUGUUGGGGUAACGGCUCACCAAGGCCACGAUGCAUAGCCGACCUGAGCGGGUGAUCGGCCACACGGAGACUGAGACACGGCCCAGAGUCCUACGGGAGGCAGCAGUGGGGAAGAUUGCACAAUGGGCGCAAGCCUGACCGAGCAACGCCGCGUGAGUGAAGAAGGUUUUCGGGUUGUAAAGUACUUUCAGCGGGGAGGCGUUACCCGCAGAAGAAGCACCGGCUAACUCCGUGCCAGCAGCCGCGGUAAUUC